UACAGAGGGUGCGAGCGUUAAUCGGAAUUACUGGGCGUAAAGCGCACGUAGGUGGCGACGUAAGUCGGGUGUGAAAGCCCCGGGCUCAACCUGGGAAUUGCAUUCGAGACUGCAUUGCUGGAGUACGGUAGAGGAAGGCGGAAUUCCCGGUGUAGCGGUGAAAUGCGUAGAUAUCGGGAGGAACAUCAGUGGCGAAGGCGGCCUUCUGGUCCAGUACUGACACUCAAGUGCGAAAGCGUGGGGAGCAAACAGG
rnacentral:rRNA from 1 species